UUUAAACAUUUUUUAAAACUUUUUUAUUGAAGUUAUAGUUGGGGUACAAUAUUAUGUAAGUUAUAGGUGUACAAUAUAGAGAAUCAUAAUAUGGGAGCAGUUUUAAAGUCACUAUAACAUUAAAGUCACUAUAAUGGAGAUAAAACAGAAAUUUUAGGAAAGUAGCAUAAAAGGAUAAAGAUAAUAAAAAUUGAAGAGAAAUGAAAAUUGGAGCAUCAAUAUAGGCGGUCAAACAUCUGAAUAUUAGGAGUUCCAAAGGGAAAUCGUGGAGGGAAGAUUGUAUUAAAUAGUUUCCAAAAAUUCCCAGAAUUGUGGAAAAUUUUCCAGAUUAAAAAGCACGGGAGACAUUUUCCAAAGACCCCUGCAACAGCUCGCAUUUCACAGGCUCUUCUACAAUGUGGUCUUAGCACUCAUCCCCAUUGAGAAACAGGACCUCUGUCCCAUCCCUGGAAUCUAUAACCAGAUGCGUGAAACCAAUUCAGUGCAGUGGAAGUAAUCCUGCACAGAUUCCAAAGCUGGGCUUGCAUUUUGCUCACUAGAGUACCUGCACCUAAAGCCCUGAGACGCCACGUGAGAAGUCCUAUCUGAGGCCACCUUGCUGUAAGGAAGCCAAGACACGUAGUGAAGACACACAUAGAUACUCAGGUUGAAAGCCCCAGCUGAGCCUUUAGCUACAUCACCAGCCAACUUUUGUAAGUGAGCUAUCUUGGACAUCCAUCCCGUCUAGUCAAGACUUUAGAUAACCACAGUCCCAGCUAAUACCUGUCUGAAGCUGCAUGAGAAUGCCCAAGAGAAAGCUGCCCAGCCUACCCUUCCCAAAUUUAAGCUAUAGUUGGUUUUUUGGUUGGUUGGUUGGUUGGUUGGUUACACAGCAAUAACUACAGGAAAAAAGCGCUACUGUCUGCCCAGCACAAUAAAUAGGGACUAGGGGAGGGGACCAAUACAUCAGGCAGGUUGUUGAGAAAUUUGAGACGACCAGGGAUAGGGAUGAUCUUAAAAACUUCCAGCAACAGAAAACGAACAAAAAUACAGGGGAAAGAGUUCCAAUUUAAAAUUCUAUUUCCAUUCAAAUGAGGCAUCUAAUAUAAGGGUAGAAAUAAAGACAUGUUAGAUAAGCAAGCUCAGAAGGCUGCUGAAAGAUGAGCUCCAUCAAAAUGAGAAAGCAAACCAAGGCAGAAAAAAAUAAUGUAACUCGGAAUCCACGAAAUAUCCAAGCUGUAUCACAAAGAUGGUUUCCCAGAGGGUCAUGAACAAAAGAAAAUGAACCCAGCACAUCCCCUGACGCACAUGACAAUACUGAGUGGAGCUUGACACUUGGUGAGGAGAGGUCUGGGUUAAGCAGGGCAGGGAACACAGAAAACCGAACAAGUGAAAAACAAGGCAAUUGACUCCAGGAAAAACAGAGAGGUGUGCCUAAAGGAUAUGUAAUCAUAAAUCAGUCCAGGGGGGUUCCCGUUGUGGCUCAGCAGGUUAAGAACCUGAUGUUGUCUUUGUGAGGAUGCAGGUUCAAUCCCUGGCCUUGUUCAGUGGGUUAAGGAUCCAGUGUUGCCGUAAGCUAUUGCAUAGGUCACAGAUGUAGCAACGCUGGAUCCUUUAACCCACUUUGCUGAGCUAGGAAUUGAACUUGUACCUCCAUAGCAACCUAAGCCACUGCAGUCAGAUUCAUAACCCACUAUACCACAGUGGGAGCUCCUAAGUCUUUAUUGAUAAACAUGAAGUUAAUCACUGGAGAAAUCCCUGUAAAAGCUGAUCAGUGUUUGUUCUGGGGAGGUAGGGUUGGGCCUGCAGACUUGGUGGUACAAGGAUGAGGAAGUUCUGCUCCUAGUACUUCUUUUUUUCCCUCGGUGAAAACAUUUCUCUAGGAAUGAUGGAGAUUUGAAGAGAAUGAGAUAUGAAAGAGGCUUCUCAGAGAAUCUAGGGGAUGUAGGACACAGUAGGGAGAUCCUGAGUGCCAACUUGCACACAUGACCCAGCAUCACCAAGUCUCUGAACACCUCUCUCUCUGUACAUGGCUCAGCUGCCUCUCCCACACCAGCUGUCGCAGACUCAGGUCAAGAUCAGACCCUUCCCCUUCACUGGACGGCUGUGGCAACGCCCUCUCCAGAUUCAGGCCUUGUCUUGCUGACGUUCCCCACAUGCAAUUUUUAAAAUAAAAUGUGCCCAGAUCUCCUCCUCCAUCC
rnacentral:lncRNA from 1 species